UGGGGAAUAUUGCACAAUGGGCGCAAGCCUGAUGCAGCCAUGCCGCGUGUGUGAAGAAGGCCUUCGGGUUGUAAAGCUCUGUCUUUUGGGACGAUAAUGACGGUACCAAAGGAGGAAGCCACGGCUAACUACGUGCCAGCAGCCGCGGUAAUACGUAGGUGGCAAGCGUUGUCCGGAUUUACUGGGCGUAAAGGAUGCGUAGGCGGAUUUUUAAGUGAGAUGUGAAAACCCUAAGCUUAACUUGGGGACUGCAUUUCAUACUGGAAAUCUAGAGUGCGGGAGAGGAGAAUGGAAUUCCUAGUGUAGCGGUGAAAUGCGUAGAGAUUAGGAAGAACACCAGUGGCGAAGGCGAUUCUCUGGACCGUAACUGACGCUGAGGCAUGAAAAGCGUGGGGUAGCAAAACAGGAUUAGAUACCCUGGUAGUCCACGCCGUAAACGAUGAGUACUAGGUGUAGGAGGUAUCGACCCCCUUCUGUGCCGCAGUUAACACAAUAAGUACUCCGCCUGGGGAAGUACGAUCGCAAGAUUAAAAACUCAAAGGAAUUGACGGGGGUCAUAGCUG
rnacentral:rRNA from 1 species